GCCCGACUAGCUCACCGGUAGAGCGCCUCACUAGUAUGGCUGAGGAGAAUUGUCUGAAAUGAGGAGGCAACAGGUUCGACUCCUGUGUUGGGCA